UACGUAGGGACCGAGCGUUGUCCGGAUUCAUUGGGCGUAAAGAGCUCGUAGGCGGCUGUUCAAGUCGAACGUGAAAACUCGGAGCUCAACUCCGAGCCUGCGUUCGAUACUGGACGGCUAGAGUCUGGUAGGGGGAUCUGGAAUUCCUGGUGUAGCGGUGAAAUGCGUAGAUAUCAGGAGGAACACCGGUGGUGUAGACGGCUUUCUGGACCGUAACUGACGCUGAGACACGAAAGCGUGGGUAGCAAACAGG
rnacentral:rRNA from 1 species